UUAUACACACUUUAUUUCUAUGAAAUACACACUACAACACCCAAAUUUCAACCAAAAAACUCCAUGGAAGGCUCAAGUAAAAAAAGACUGCUACGAAGAUAAAAUUUAGGACGCAUGUCCGUGCUAAUCUAGGCGAACCAAAAUUUUGUUUACAAGAUAAACUAAUACCCACACAGCCGUUUCCCACCCAACCAUAUAACACCCAAUCGUAUCCACUUUAUCCACAACAUUUCCCCCAUCCAAACAUGCCAACCCAAGUCGCAAGCGGUCAUUUUACUUUAUCACCCAACGACCAACCCGUUUCCAACCAACCUAUGGACGUGCAAAUGGUCGUCCGUUUCGCGUAUCGCGUACCUACCUCCCACUACCAAAAAAACAGUAUCGUAACCUGGUUUGUGAUCCCGAUUCGGACGAAUGCUGCUGCUACUGCUAUUAGGAGACGUAUUUGGAGAUCAACAAUAAAAACCCGUAUUUGGAGACGUAUUAUCCCACAUUGUGGAAGAUUGCAUGAUGCAGAUGCUACUAUUAGGAGCAUGGAUCAAAUGACGGGUAAAUGGACAGAUAUAAAUAAAAAAAACGAGUCGAUUCAAUGCGUGCUACAUGGAAAAAGCUUUGCAAUCAACCAAGUGGAACGAAUGACGCAAAUGUAAUCCAAGGAGCCCUAAGAGAGUACCAAAGACUCUAUCCGAAGAAAACUGGAUUUAUUCAUUUAAAGGCUUGGGAAAUUGAGAGGACUCAUGAUAAAUUGGUACUCAUUAUGUUGAAUGAUCUUGAUGGCCCAACAGGUACUCGUGAAGGACGUUCUAAAAAAGAUUAAAAAAACGCCCGAUUCGGGAAAUUACACAACCUCAACGGAUGGGUUAUCAAUCAUCAUUCCUGACCUCAAUUUAAAUGACAACUCAACCGACAACACAACACCAACACGGCCGCAACGGAGGAAAAGUUUCGAGUCGUCAAGCAAAGGGAAAGAAGGUUGGGUGGAUUCCAUGAACGAAUUUAAGUCAGCAAAAAUGUUUGACAUUGAGGAGAAUAGAGAACGACGCAAGUUGUUGGCGGAUACAAAGCUAAAAAGAGUAGAACAAUACAUGAAACACUUGGUUGAGAUUGAGAAGAAUAAAGAUUUGAAAGUUUUGAGCCAACCGCUCGAAAAUGCCGAAGAACCGUAUUGGUCGAUUCUCAAAGAACGCAAAUGGGAAAUUCGUGCGGAGUGAUAUUGGCCAUGUAACUUUUAGGUUUUUUUUAUUUAAAUUCGAUAGUUUAUUUAUUUAUUUUUGCAACA